AGUGAACGCUGGCGGUAGGCCUAACACAUGCAAGUCGAACGGCAGCACAGUAAGAGCUUGCUCUUACGGGUGGCGAGUGGCGGACGGGUGAGGAAUACAUCGGAAUCUACUUUUUCGUGGGGGAUAACGUAGGGAAACUUACGCUAAUACCGCAUACGACCUACGGGUGAAAGCAGGGGAUCUUCGGACCUUGCGCGAUUGAAUGAGCCGAUGUCGGAUUAGCUAGUUGGCGGGGUAAAGGCCCACCAAGGCGACGAUCCGUAGCUGGUCUGAGAGGAUGAUCAGCCACACUGGAGGUGAGACACGGUCCAGAGUCCUACGGGAGGGAGCAGUGGGGAAUAUUGGACAAUGGGCGCAAACCUGAUCCAACCAUACCGCGUGGGUGAAGAAGGCGUUCGGGUUGUAAAGCCCUUUUGUUGGGAAAGAAAAGCAGCAGGUUAAUACCCCGCUGUUCUGACGGUACCCAAAAAAUAAGCACCGGCUAACUUCGUG
rnacentral:rRNA from 1 species